GAUGGGAUCCCAAACUAACGGGAGGGGUCAGUAGAGCAAUUAAGGCUAUUAACAAGUCCUAUGUAGGCUCUGCAUUAAUGAAAAGGGAAAUAACUGUGGACAGGCUCCUAGGUUAACAUAAGGGAUUGCAGCUAUAUUUAAGCCUCUUUACUGUCCCUUGUAUCCUCUGUAGUAAUGCAAAUCAAGUAGGAAAGGAACAGAUUCUAGACUUACAGAAGAGACUAUAGAUGCAGUUAAGCCCAUUAACAGUCCCAAGUAUCCUCUGCAAUCCCGAAAAGGGAGUUAUUUGGGGAUGAAUCCCAGGUUAGCAUAAGGGACUGUAAUUGCAUUUAAGCAUAUUAACAGCCCUUUCUUCCCCCGUUUGGUAAUGCAAAACGAGUAAGGGAACGGGAAUCUCAACCAACAGAAGGGACUGUAGCUCUAAUCGAGCCCAUUGACUAUCCCAAGUUCCCUCUGCAGCCAUGCAAAGGGUGUUAGAUGGGAAUGGGAUCAUAGGUUAACAUAGGAACUGUAGAUGCAUUUAAGCAAAUCCAGUCUCAUACAUCUUAAGGUAAUGCAAAUCGAGUAGGAAAAGGGGAUCCUAAAAUAACAGAAGGGACAAUAGUGCGAUUAAGCCCACUAACAAGUCCCACAUAGGCUUUGCAUUAACAAAAAGAUAGUUAGGUGGGAACGGGAUCCUAGGUUAAGGUGAGGAUCUGUAGCUGCACCUAAGCAUAUUGACAGUCCCAGUUCCCUUCAGUUGUAAUACAAAUUGAGCAGGAAGGAAAGUGAUUCCAGAUUAACACAAGGGACUAUAGCUGCAAUAAAGCCCAUUAACAGUCCCAACUGCCCCCUGUGUCACUGAAAGUCAGUUAGAUGGGAACAGGGUCCUAGAUAAAUGUAAAUGACUAUAGCUUCUUUUAAGCACAGUAACAUUCCUUUUACCUUUUACGGUAUUGCAAAGGAAUUAUGUGAGAAUGGGAUCAUAGGUUAACAUAAAGGAUUGUAGCUGUAUUUAAGCUCAUUAAGCUAGUUACCUUAGAUAUUCUGUGGUAAUGCAAAUUGUAUAGGACUGGAUGGGAAUCCAGACAAACAGAAGGGACUGUAGCUGCAAUAAAGCCCAUUAACAGU
ensembl:lncRNA